CAGUCGCCGCGGGAAUACGUAGGGUGCAAGCGUUAAUCGGAAUUACUGGGCGUAAAGCGUGCGCAGGCGGUUAUAUAAGACAGAUGUGAAAUCCCCGGGCUCAACCUGGGAACUGCAUUUGUGACUGUAUAGCUAGAGUACGGCAGAGGGGGAUGGAAUUCCGCGUGUAGCAGUGAAAUGCGUAGAUAUGCGGAGGAACACCGAUGGCGAAGGCAAUCCCCUGGGCCUGUACUGACGCUCAUGCACGAAAGCGUGGGGAGCAAACAGGAUUAGAUACCCCCGUAGUCCCUGUCUCUUAUAU
rnacentral:rRNA from 1 species